rnacentral:rRNA from 1 species
UACGUAGGGUGCAAGCGUUAUCCGGAAUUAUUGGGCGUAAAGAGCUCGUAGGCGGUUUGUCGCGUCUGCUGUGAAAACCCGAGGCUCAACCUCGGGCCUGCAGUGGGUACGGGCAGACUAGAGUGCGGUAGGGGAGAUUGGAAUUCCUGGUGUAGCGGUGGAAUGCGCAGAUAUCAGGAGGAACACCGAUGGCGGAAGGCAGGUCUCUGGGGCCACUACUGACGCUGAAGAAGCGAAAAGCAUGGGGGAGCGAACAGG